rnacentral:misc_RNA from 1 species
GAUGAAGAACGCAGCGAAAUGCGAUAAGUAAUGUGAAUUGCAGAAUUCAGUGAAUCAUCGAAUCUUUGAACGCACAUUGCGCCCGCCAGUAUUCUGGCGGGCAUGCCUGUUCGAGCGUCAUUUCAACCAUCAAGCCCCAGGCUUGUGUUGGGGACCUGCGGCUGCCGCAGGCCCUGAAAACCAGUGGCGGGCUCGCUGUCACACCGGGCGUAGUAGAUUUUAUCUCGCUCAGGGCGUGCUGCGGGUUCCGGCCGUUAAAAAGCCUUUUUUACCCAAGGUUGACCUCGGAUCAGGUAGGAAGACCCGCUGAACUUAAGCAUAUCAAUAAGGGAGGA